AAACACAGCACUUAGUGGAUGUCAGGCUGGCCUGUGAGUAGGGAGACCUGGGCACUGGUAAGAUGGAGGGAAGUUUAACAUAGUUCAUUUACACAUACUACCAACAUUAUUAUGAUA